UGAGGGAUAUUGCACAAUGGGCGCAAGCCUGAUGCAGCAACGCCGCGUGAGGGAAGACGGUUUUCGGAUUGUAAACCUCUGUCUUCGGUGAUGAAAAGAUGACAGUAGCCGAGGAGGAAGCCACGGCUAACUACGCCAGC
rnacentral:rRNA from 1 species